rnacentral:rRNA from 1 species
AUGAACGCUAGCUACAGGCUUAACACAUGCAAGUCGAGGGGCAUCAGGAAGAAAGCUUGCUUUCUUUGCUGGCGACCGGCGCACGGGUGAGUAACACGUAUCCAACCUGCCCUUUACUCGGGGAUAGCCUUUCGAAAGAAAGAUUAAUACCCGAUGGCAUAAUGAUUCCGCAUGGUUUCAUUAUUAAAGGAUUCCGGUAAAGGAUGGGGAUGCGUUCCAUUAGGUUGUUGGUGAGGUAACGGCUCACCAAGCCUUCGAUGGAUAGGGGUUCUGAGAGGAAGGUCCCCCACAUUGGAACUGAGACACGGUCCAAACUCCUACGGGAGGCAGCAGUGAGGAAUAUUGGUCAAUGGGCGCUAGCCUGAACCAGCCAAGUAGCGUGAAGGAUGAAGGCUCUAUGGGUCGUAAACUUCUUUUAUAUAAGAAUAAAGUGCAGUAUGUAUACUGUUUUGUAUGUAUUAUAUGAAUAAGGAUCGGCUAACUCCGUGCCAGCAGCCGCGGUAAUACGGAGGAUCCGAGCGUUAUCCGGAUUUAUUGGGUUUAAAGGGAGCGUAGGUGGACUGGUAAGUCAGUUGUGAAAGUUUGCGGCUCAACCGUAAAAUUGCAGUUGAUACUGUCAGUCUUGAGUACAGUAGAGGUGGGCGGAAUUCGUGGUGUAGCGGUGAAAUGCUUAGAUAUCACGAAGAACUCCGAUUGCGAAGGCAGCUCACUGGACUGCAACUGACACUGAUGCUCGAAAGUGUGGGUAUCAAACAGGAUUAGAUACCCUGGUAGUCCACACAGUAAACGAUGAAUACUCGCUGUUUGCGAUAUACAGUAAGCGGCCAAGCGAAGGCAUUAAGUAUUCCACCUGGGGAGUACGCCGGCAACGGUGAAACUCAAAGGAAUUGACGGGGGCCCGCACAAGCGGAGGAACAUGUGGUUUAAUUCGAUGAUACGCGAGGAACCUUACCCGGGCUUAAAUUGCAGUGGAAUGAUGUGGAAACAUGUCAGUGAGCAAUCACCGCUGUGAAGGUGCUGCAUGGUUGUCGUCAGCUCGUGCCGUGAGGUGUCGGCUUAAGUGCCAUAACGAGCGCAACCCUUAUCUUUAGUUACUAACAGGUCAUGCUGAGGACUCUAGAGAGACUGCCGUCGUAAGAUGUGAGGAAGGUGGGGAUGACGUCAAAUCAGCACGGCCCUUACGUCCGGGGCUACACACGUGUUACAAUGGGGGGUACAGAAGGCAGCUAGCGGGUGACCGUAUGCUAAUCCCAAAAUCCUCUCUCAGUUCGGAUCGAAGUCUGCAACCCGACUUCGUGAAGCUGGAUUCGCUAGUAAUCGCGCAUCAGCCACGGCGCGGUGAAUACGUUCCCGGGCCUUGUACACACCGCCCGUCAAGCCAUGGGAGCCGGGGGUACCUGAAGUACGUAACCGCAAGGAUCGUCCUAGGGUAAAACUGGUGACUGGGGCU